rnacentral:rRNA from 1 species
GGCCUAACACAUGCAAGUCGAGCGGGCCCUUCGGGGAUCAGAGGAGAGGUGUUAAUACGUGUGGAUAUAUCCCCACGUGGUGCGGAAUAUCUCAGAGGAAGCUAUGCAACUACUACCAUGAUACCCCCUAUGUGGGGAAUGGAUCGCUGUCGAAUGAUCCGGCCUCGUAUGAUCAACUAGUUGGUGUGGUGGUGGACCACCGCGGCGAUCAGCAGCAGCUGGUAUAAGAUGAUCAUCCACCUCGCUAUGACUAAAACGCCGACCAUACUCCUACAGGAAGCAGCGGUAGUGAAUAUCGGACGGCGCGCGCCUGACUCAUCCAUGCAUGCUGAGUGAUUAAUGACUGCCUGAUGGUUGUCUCUCUCUCCCGUCAGGAACGAUACUGACGGUACCGA